rnacentral:tRNA from 1 species
GUCUGGCCAGCUUAGUUGGUGGAGCAUUCGACUUGAUCUCGAGAUUGUGGGUUCGAGCCCCACGUUGGGUG